CCAGCUUAGCUUACCCUCGCCAGAAUUCUCAGGCGACGUUUUCAGCAGUAACAUUCAAAGCACAACUAGAACCGUCUCGUCUGAAGGCAGCGCUAAAAUUAUGAAGGGGAUUAUUGACGUGAUCCUAAUAGGACUUUCGUUCGUACUUGCCGUGAUGGCUUGCAGUGCACCAUGUGAUGUAAUGAACCGCGUCUUUCCAUUUAUAAGUUAGUCUAUAUGUAAUUAAGUCGGGUGAAAGUAUUGUGGUUAGAUAAUGUUGUUUUUUUACGGUUCUGUUUACGGAGAUACGUGACACUGACAGGCGAACAAACACGAACGCCGUGUAAAACCCAUAUUGAUUGCUGCAGCCUGGUGUGCAAGGAACGCCGAAACGGCAACAGGGAAUGCACCUACACGUCGGGAUACGAUCUACCUGAAUGCAAAUUCUAAUAAACGCUAUUUACCGAUAAAAGAUGUCGAAGAUGAACGGUUACAACAAUGGAAAGCUAACGAAGAUUCGACCAGCUUGUCAGAUUUUCUUCAGUGACCUUUCUUGUUUUUUAAAUAAUUAA